rnacentral:rRNA from 1 species
UGAGGAAUAUUGGUCAAUGGACGGAAGUCUGAACCAGCCAAGUAGCGUGCAGGAUGACGGCCCUAUGGGUUGUAAACUGCUUUUAUGCGGGGAUAAAGUGGGCUACGUGUAGCCUAUUGCAGGUACCGCAUGAAUAAGGACCGGCUAAUUCCGUGCCAGCAGCCGCGGUAAUACGGAAGGUCCGGGCGUUAUCCGGAUUCAUUGGGUUUAAAGGGAGCGUAGGCCGCCUUUUAAGCGUGUUGUGAAAUGUCCUGGCUCAACCAGGGCACUGCAGCGCGAACUGGAGGGCUUGAGUACGCACAACGUGGGCGGAAUUCGUGGUGUAGCGGUGAAAUGCUUAGAUAUCACGAAGAACUCCGAUUGCGAAGGCAGCUCACGGGAGCGCAACUGACGCUGAAGCUCGAAAGUGCGGGUAUCGAACAGGAUUAGAUACCCUGGUAGU